UACGGAGGAUCCAAGCGUUAUCCGGAAUUACUGGGCGUAAAGAGUUGCGUAGGUGGCAUGGUAAGUUGGUAGUGAAAGCCUGGGGCUCAACCCCUUACACAUUAUCAAAACUGCCAAGCUAGAGGAUGAGAGAGGUUAUUGGAAUUCCUAAUGUAGGGGUAAAAUCCGUUGAUAUUAGGAGGAACACCGAUGGCGUAGGCAGAUAACUGGCUCAUUCCUGACACUAAGGCACGAAAGCGUGGGUAGCAAACAGG
rnacentral:rRNA from 1 species